rnacentral:lncRNA from 1 species
CCGAUGGCCUAUAAGUUGGCUGCGUUUAGAGCCAUCCCUGUCAUCAUACCAGCAUGGUCAUGUGACCUGAUGGUCUAUAAGUUGGCCGCAUUUAGGUCCAUGGUUAAUAGGUCAUAUACCCAUGUCACUAGAUGGCGAGAUAGCGAGGAGGAAUUGGCCUAUAUAUAUGCACAAGGAUCUAAAUAUGGGUAUAAAAAAGCUGUUAUAGAAGGAAUUAUGAGGAAAACUAAGGGAGAUAUGGAAGCGACUAUACCCAAAUGAUCCUGACGCUAACAGGUUGAAGGUGCUCCAUUCUCCCAGGUUACAUAUUUUACCAAUGUACUGAUAGGGUCCUUACCAGAGCUAUAAAAGAUAGGAACAGGAGAAUGGCAAGGAAGAGAAGACGUACCCUAUUCACGUUAUUCUGUAAUGACAAAGAUGUGAUAGAAGCGAGUAGGAAGACAGGUAUAUAUGAUAUCCCCAUUUAUAAUAAUGAUGAGAUGGCUAUGCAAUACUACAUUGAUAGUAUGAAGAAGGGCUUGCAUACAAGAAUAAAGGUAACAUCCUGGAUGUCACCUUUACGCUCCUUUAUCCUUGCAUACAGCCUUAGCCUCCUAGUACACAGCCUUAGCCCUCAAAGCCUAUGAACGUGAUCUAGAUAUAAAAUGGGAUGAGGCCAGAGUGAUAAAAACAGUGUGGGACUCUAGAGGUAUUAAUACAAUAGAGAGCAUUGAGAUCGAGAAAAGGAAGGACACCCAUGAUAUCAUUAACAGUAAUGAUCCGGUAGUGUUGCCAUCAUCCUGGAAAUGGUGUGUUACUCGUGCGCUGUAAGUGGUGAGGCUGGUACCUAUGGGAACCUUGAGUGUUUGCGGAAGAGAUGGACUCGCCUUUAUGAGUUGUGGACAUUAUAUAUAUAGCCUUAUGUUAAAGUAAUGUUGUGAUU